rnacentral:misc_RNA from 1 species
GAUGAAGAACGUAGCGAAAUGCGAUAAGUAGUGUGAAUUGCAGAAUUCAGUGAAUCAUCGAAUCUUUGAACGCACAUUGCGCCCUUUGGUAUUCCUUAGGGCAUGCCUGUUCGAGCGUCAUUUAAACCUUCAAGCUCAGCUUGGUGUUGGGUGACUGUCCGCUUCACCGCGGACUCGCCUCAAAAUUAUUGGCGGCCGGUACAUUGGCUCUCGAGCGCAGCAGAAACGCGUAACUCGAGGUCCUCGUGCUGGGUCCCAGAAGCUAUCUUCACAAUUUUGACCUCGGAUCAGGUAGGGAUACCCGCUGAACUUAAGCAUAUCAUAAGCGGAGGA